AUAAAUUACUUGGCGACUCGUACGGGGCAGUAUUUAUAUGCGUCAGUUGAUUCUUACCUGCCCAGGUGAGAGACAUAGAAAAGAGAGAAAGACAGCGGGAGAGAACGACAGAAAAGGACUGCGAGUUUACGAUUUGGCAUCAUGUGGGGGGCACUGAUUCUGGGCGUUCUAUUCCGGGGGGCUUUGACCCAAAUUUCUGACGAAAAUUUGGGAUGGAAUUUCGUGAACGAGUACAAUAAUAAGGUCGGAAGUCUAUGGAAUGAGAAUGUCAAAAAAUCGUGGAAUUAUUACACCAAUCUGACGGAUUAUAAUUUGGAAGUCAUGACCAAUUCCACUCUUCAAAUGGCCGAGUUUGACAAAGAGGCUGCGAAGAAUGCCAGUACCUUUGCUCAUGAUGGCUUCGGAAAUGCCACGCUCAAACGGCUGUUCAAGAAGAUCGUGAACAUUGGGUUUGCUGCGACUAACGACAGCGAACAGUUAAAGGCUAUUUCGAAUUUAGAAGCAGAUCUUACGGGAAUUUACAGCAAAGGAAAAGUUUGCUUAGAGUCAAAAGGAUGUCUGCAGCUCGAACCAGGGUUGACGGACAUUAUCACCAACAGUCGGAGCUACGAGGAACUGCUGGCUGUCUGGAAGGGGUGGAGGGACGCCUCGGGGAAGUUAAUGAGAACCAAGUACACCGACUUUGUCAAAGCUAUGAAUGCCGCGAUCAAAUUCAGUGGUUUUAACGACACUGGAGAAUACUGGCGGUCGUGGUACGAGACGCCGACGUUCGAACAAGACGUCAGGACACUGUUUGAGGAGCUGGAGCCAUUGUACGUGGAACUCCACGCUUACGUCAGAAAACGUCUGAAGGAAAAAUACGGCAAGGACAUGUUCCCAGAGACGGGGCACAUCCCGGCGCAUUUAUUUGGCAACAUGUGGGCCCAGCAGUGGAGCAAUAUCUACGACCUCCUGGUCCCGUUCCCAGGGGCUAGUUCUGUUGACAUUACUGCCAAAAUGAAGGAACAGAAUUACAACGUAACCCACAUGUACCGCGUGGCGGAAGAUUUCUUUAUGUCCAUUGGAAUGGAAAAGAUGACAGACGCAUUCUGGCAGAACUCCAUGCUUGUCAAACCAACCGACCGAGACGUCGUCUGCCACGCGUCCGCUUGGGACUUCUAUGAUGAAAACGAUUUCAGGUCAGCUUAUGUUUUCUAUGUGUUUUUUAAUAACAGAAAUCAAAGUACUGAAAGUACUGGAACUCCAAAAUGUGAAAUACAUGUAAGAGGUAAACAUGUAAAUUACACUCGAAGCACGGACAUGUAUAUGUGAAUAGUUUAGGAAAUUAUAUUUCUCAAAGAUUGCACUGGAUUGAAUUUGUUAUCUCACGUUAACUUUUCAACAAAAGCUGGAAAUUGUUUUUACAACGAUCGAAAGUAGUUUUAAUUAGCCAACGAAUGUAAUUGAUAAUUUGUUAGCCUAAUUUACUAUUAUUUGAGAUAGAAUUUUGAAGGAAAGACAGGUAUAUUUUUAAUCAUAACUUAGUCUUUACAACCAAAAACUUCAGAAUAAAGCAAUGCACGUCUGUCACUGAGGACCAGUUACUGACGGUCCACCACGAGAUGGGACACAUCGUGUACUACCAGAAUUACAAGCACCUGCCGAGGCUGUUCCGAAGAGGCGCCAAUCCUGGUAUCCGCCAUAUUUUAUUGUUCUUCUUUCAUGAUGCUUUACUCUUUGCAUGAUAAAUUUUCAGAAUAAAACAAUGCACAAGCGUGACAGAGGACCAGCUUUUGACUGUCCAUCACGAAAUGGGGCAUAUCGUGUACUUCCAGAACUAUCGACAUCAGCCGAGGUUGUUCCGAGGUGGAGCAAAUCCUGGUUUCCACGAGGGAAUGGCCGACAUUGUUAGUCUCUCCUUCCAGACACCAGAGCACAUGAAAGUAAUCGGCCUGUUGGAUGAGGUACCUCAAGAUUCCGACAGUGACAUCAAUUUCCUGCUGAAAAUGGCAUUAGACAAGGUGGCGUUCCUUCCCUUUGGUUAUUUAAUUGAUCAGUGGCGCUGGAGUGUGUUCCGGGGAGACACCAACUCAUCCAACUACAACCAACACUGGUGGGAUCUGAGAUGUAGGUUUCAGGGAAUUUCUUCACCAGUGAAGAGAACAGAGGAAGAUUUUGAUCCAGGAGCAAAAUACCACAUUCCUGGAAACACGCCUUACAUAAGGUACUUCGUUAGUUUUGUGGUACAGUUCCAGUGGCAUGAGGCCCUGUGUCGGGAGGCGGGAAACACCAGACCGCUCCAUCGGUGUGAUAUCUACAACAAUACCAACGCAGGGAACAAGCUCAGGGAGAUGCUGAGAAUGGGUUCCUCCAAACCUUGGCAGGACGCAAUGGAGGCCAUUACUGGUCAGAGAACGAUGAGCGCCAAACCCUUGGUCAACUACUUCGACCCGCUGUUGAAGUGGUUAAAGGAACAAAACAAGGAGGAGAACACGGGCUGGUCGGCCUCAUGCCCAUCCUCCAUCCCCACCCCUAGCGCUCUCGCCGCUGGAUCCGCCAAUCUGUUUAUUUCAAUCACGUGUUUUGUUCUCUGCGUUUUCUUUGCUUUCUUCCAAAUACGCUAAUGUUAAAUCGAGAUUCAAAAGGACGCAAUUAAAAAAGGAAACAUUCCGUCCCUCUGUCCUUUUAAAAUGAUUGAAAUCCUUUACAUAUAUACAAAUGCAUGUACACAUAUCGUAUCGUUUCAAUUAUGCAUAUCUUGUUGAUAAACAAUUUUGACGGAUGUUCAUGGAUAGAAUUUACAUAUACCGGUAGAUUAUUCUGGUAGUGUUUUGUCAUAUGUUAUCUUUCCAAGACUUUUCCAAAAGAAAUUUUUACUACAUAUAUGUAUAUAUGAUGGAUGAUUUUCAAAUUUUGAGAAUUGAACCAAACUAAAUCCCACAACUAAAGUGUUCCUGGUUAGAUUUUGCUCUUUUAUAUUCUGUAUAACAAGUGUAGUAUUUGCAUUCAGACAAUUCAUAACGAGGACGGUUUGUUGCUAUCGUCGAUUGUAAUUUUCAUUGUAUAGUACGUGUGAAUGUAUUUUUAUGGUUUGUUGUAUCUCCAUGAAUGGAUGCGAUCAUCCCCUAGCUCCGAUUGAUCGCCGCACACACGAAUAUACAUGUAUGUUGUGUAAUUACUCUAAAAUAUGAAGUCCAUGGACGUAUAUUGUACAGUUAUAUGCAUGCAUGAUUUUUAACGUUAUAGCACAGAAAUAAUUGUAUGUAUAUGUAAAAGAUGUAUGUUUUUCUUACAUAAAUAAAAAUGAUAUUAAAGUU
rnacentral:misc_RNA from 1 species